rnacentral:snoRNA from 1 species
CUGCAGCUUAUUAAGCCGACUGGUCUCGCUGGAGUGCGGUUCCAGUGUGCAAAGGCUGCAGACAUUGACUUCUUUGGUUGUGUAUGUCCUCAGCUGGGAGGUGCUGAGUGCUUUAAGGGACCACUGAGACAAAG